rnacentral:rRNA from 1 species
AUUGAACGCUGGCGGCAUGCCUUACACAUGCAAGUCGAACGGCAGCGCGGGAGCAAUCCUGGCGGCGAGUGGCGAACGGGUGAGUAGUGCAUCGGAACGUGCCCAGUUGUGGGGGAUAGCCCGGCGAAAGCCGGAUUAAUACCGCAUGAGACCUGAGGGUGAAAGCGGGGGAUCGAAAGACCUCGCGCGACUGGAGCGGCCGAUGUCGGAUUAGGUAGGUGGUGGGGUAAGGGCCUACCAAGCCUGCGAUCUGUAGCUGGUCUGAGAGGACGACCAGCCACACUGGGACUGAGACACGGCCCAGACUCCCACGGGAGGCAGCAGUGGGGAAUUUCGGACAAUGGGCGCAAGCCUGAUCCAGCCAUGCCGCGUGCGGGAAGAAGGCCUUCGGGUUGUAAACCGCUUUUGUCGGGGAAGAAACGGCCUGGGCUAAUACCUUGGGCUAAUGACGGUACCCGAAGAAUAAGCACCGGCUAACUACGUGCCAGCCGCCGCGGUAA